GUGCCAGCAGCCGCGGUAAUACGGAGGGUGCAAGCGUUAUCCGGAUUUAUUGGGUUUAAAGGGUCCGUAGGCGGACUGUUAAGUCAGCGGUGAAAGCCCACAGCUCAACUGUGGAACUGCCGUUGAUACUGACAGUCUUGAGUACAAGUGAGGUUGGCGGAAUGUGUGGUGUAGCGGUGAAAUGCUUAGAUAUCACACAGAACACCGAUUGCGAAGGCAGCUGGCCAACUUGUAACUGACGCUGAGGGACGAAAGUGUGGGGAUCAAACAGGAUUAGAUACCCUAGUAGUCC
rnacentral:rRNA from 1 species